rnacentral:lncRNA from 1 species
AGAGCCCCGGUGGCCCCGCCCAUACACUCUGCUCACGCCCGCAGCGUGCGCCAGAGGCGUCACCCACGCGCCCGCCCCUGGUUUGCGUGAGCCGGAGGCGGGGCGUCUUCGCGUGCUCUGGCCCACGUGACCGCAGCCGGGCACAAACUAAGGGGUCAGCGUCGCCUCGCCAGCUGUUGCUAUUUCCGCCUUAGGUGCCCAGGAAGUGGGCGGUGAGGCCUCUGGGUUUCCAAGACUCCUUUUUUACUCCAUCCCGCGCUUGCUGAGCCUUGCAUCUGCGUCCAGCCUGCCCCCAGCUCCCCAUAAGCUUGGUAAGGCUGCUGGGUUCCUUCUGCUGACAGAUUUUCCCACCAGACCUCUUAGCCAUUUCCUAAUCUGGGGACGCGAAGAGAAACGUAGACUGACUCGAGUGGUUUGUAUAAAGACAACUGAAUGGCCAGGACCUUCACAGAGCUCAGCAUCGUGUCUUAAUCCUGAACAGUUGCCCCAUGUUCCAAAUUCCCGUUUUCAGGCCAUGUGUGUAAUAAGCUGUGUUGACUCUAGCUCAUGCACUAAGCCACCUACCACCCCUUUUAAUGUUUGGGAAGAGGGUUCUUAUUGUUGGUGAUAUUGGUUUGGGUUUUUUUUGAAACAGGAUGUCACGUGGAUUGGACUUGCCUCAGACUGUGUAGCCGUGGUUGGCCUUAAAUUCUUGGUCCUCUGCCUCCACCUGGUCAAAUGAUGGUAAGUCUUUACUGCCAUGUUAAACUUAACACUUUGAGAUGAUCUCAUUAAGUUCCCCAGGCUGGCUUUGAACUUUCUAUACUUCUGCCUUAGUCUCCUAUGUGGAAUAAAUUUGGGACCUGUGUCUAUCAGGUCCAUCCUUGUCAGGAUUCUCUGAAGACAGAACCAUUAGACUUGAUAAAAUUAGAAUGGGAGGGCCCUGGAGAGAUGCCUCAGUAGUUAAGAGCAUUAAAAAGCACUGGCUGCUCUUCCAGAGGUCCUGUGUGUGGGAAGCCACAUGUGCCGUUGCAGGGUGGCGCUGGCCACCACGCAUAAGUUUGGGUAAACAACCAAUGUGUACAUAUGCAGUAAAGUUUUUCACCAAGUCACUGCCUCGCCCGGGCAUGAUAAUGAGGCUCCAUGAGAUACUGAGAGAAUAACCAAUCAGAUGGGGGGCAUGCAAAUGAGGUAUGAUAAUGAGGCUCAGUGAGGUACUGAGAGAGAAUAGCCAAUCAGAUGAGGAACAUGCAAAUGAGGUGGAAAGCAUAACCAAUCUGGGUGUGAGACACGCCUCUCCUAGGCCUAUAUAAGCAGCAACAGUUCUGGGUGUGGGGGUCUUUUUGCCUCUGCAAUCAAGCUCUCCCAAUAAACGUGUGCAGAAGG